GGAUGUGAGGGCGAUCUGGCUGAGACAUCUGUCACCCCAUUGAUCGCCAGGGUUGAUUCAGCUGAUCUGGCUGGCUAGAUCCCCUUCCUCCCUCACCGCUCCAUUUGCGUCCCUCCCGAAGCUCCAUGCUCGGUGGAAGAGGACGACCAUCCCAGAUAGAAGGAGUGUACCGUUCUUCGGUCAAGGGUAUACGAUAU